rnacentral:rRNA from 1 species
UGGGGAAUUUUGGACAAUGGGCGAAAGCCUGAUCCAGCAAUGCCGCGUGUGUGAAGAAGGCCUUCGGGUUGUAAAGCACUUUUGUCCGGAAAGAAAUCCUUGGCUCUAAUACAGUCGGGGGAGUGACGGUACCGGAAGAAUAAGCACCGGCUAACUACGUGCCAGCAGCCGCGGUAAUACGUAGGGUGCAAGCGUUAAUCGGAAUUACUGGGCGUAAAGCGUGCGCAGGCGGUUUGCUAAGACCGAUGUGAAAUCCCGCGCACAGCAUGGAAUGUGAUGUGAUGGCAGGCUAGAGUAUGGCAGAGGGGUGGAAAUAUCCACGUGUAGCAGUGAAAAUGCGUAGAGAUGUGGAGGAAUACCGAUGGCGAAGGCAGCCCCGCAGCAAUACUGACGCUCAUGCACGAAAAGCGUGGGGAGCAAA